CAAUAGCGUAUAUUAAAGUUGUUGCAGUUAAAAAGCUCGUAGUUGGAUUUCUGGUCGGAAGCUCCUGUCCUCUGAUGAGCGUACAAGUGCGUCCUACCAUCCUUCUGUUAACCUUUAAGGCUUUCGCGGCUUUCUAGGGGCUCAGAUAUUUUUCCUUGAGAAAAUUAGAGUGUUUCAGGCAGGCUAGCGCCGGAAUACAUUAGCAUGGAAUAAUGGAAUAGGACUUUUGCCUCUUCUGUUGGUCAUGAGGCUCGAGUAAUGAUUAAUAGGGAUAGUUGGGGGCAUUAGUACUUAACUGUCAGAGGUGAAAUUCUCGGAUUUGUUAAAGACUAACUUAUGCGAAAGCAUUUGCCAAGGAUGUUUUCAUUAA
rnacentral:rRNA from 1 species